GCGGUCUCGGGGCUAAAGAUUAAUCUGGGUAAAAGUGAAAUCAUCCCGGUGGGUGAGGUGGAGGAUAUUGAGGAAUUGGCAGCGGAGAUAGGAUGUAGGGUGGGAUCUUUGUCGUCCCAGUAUUUGGGUCUACCCUUAGGGGCUCCUAACAAGGCCUCCUCGGUGUGGGAUGGAGUAGAAGAAAGAGUGAGGAGAAGACUUGCGCUUUGGAAAAGGCAAUUUAUCUCUAAAGGUGGCAGAAUCACUCUGAUUAAAAGCACCUUGGCCAGCAUACCCAUUUAUCAAAUGUCUCUUUUCCGGAUGCCGAAGAUUGUGGUUAGAAGGCUAGAAAAAUUGCAAAGAGACUUCCUAUGGGGAGGGGGAAGUAUGGAGAGGAAAAUUCACCUAGUGAAUUGGGAGAUAGUGUGUGGAGAAAAAGAGAGGGGUGGGCUUGGUUUGAGGAAGCUUGGCCUAUUGAACAGAGCUUUGCUUGGAAAAUGGAUAUGAAGGUUUGCUUGUGAAAGAGAGAAUCUUUGGAAGCAGGUGAUUGUGGCAAAGUUUGGGCAAGAAGAUGAUGGAUGGAAGCCUAAUGGGGCGUUUGGGGUAGGGGUGUGGAAGGAGAUCAUGAAGGAGACUGAUUGGUGCUGGGAUAAUAUAGAGUUUAUGGUGGGGAAGGGUACUAGAAUCAGAUUUUGGACUGAUGUGUGGUGUGCGGGCUCAGCGCUGUCCCAAACCUUCCCGCACCUUUUUGUCUUGGCUGCUCAUAGGAAUGCUACGGUGGAGGAGAUGUAGGAUCAGAGUUCGGAUCAAGGAGGUUGGAAUCUAAGAUUUUUGAGGAAUUUUAAUGACUGGGAGGUGGGUAUGGUAGGAGAUCUGCUCCUUAAGCUGAGAGGGUUUAGGCCUUCUUUGGAGGAAGAUUCGGUCUCUUGGAAGGGAGGAAAAAGCGGUAAAUUCAAAGUAAAGAAAGCGUACAGCUACUUAGUCAAUCCUAUGGACACCGUUUUCCCGGAAAAAUGCAUUUGGGUGGAUAGAGUACCUACCAAGGUCGCUUUCUUUGCGUGGAAGGCUACAUGGGGGAAGGUGUUAACGCUUGAUAGACUUCAGAGAAGAGGAUGGCAACUCCCUAACUGCUGCUUUUUGUGUGGUUGUGCAGAAGAAUCUGUAAAUCAUGUCCUUAUUCACUGUAUAGUGACUAGAGCCCUUUGGGAGUUAGUCCUUGGGCUUAUAGGUGUUAAGUGGGUCUUUCCAGAAUCUGUAAAGGAGGUCUUGUUUAGCUGGAAAGGUCACUGGGUGGGAAAAAAAAGGAAAAAGAUUUGGAAGGCCAUCCCGUUAUGCAUAUUUUGGACGGUUUAGAAAGAAAGGAAUAGGUUAGCCUUUAAAGGGGGUGUGAUACAUAGACAGAAGCUAAAGAAUUUUUUUGUUUGUAAUUUGUGGGGUUGGGCUAGAUUGGAUAUUGGAGAUAACUCUCUCUCCCUUCUAGGCUUUCUAGAGUGGCUAGCUGCCACUUAGGGGAGGUGAGGUCUUCUUGGUCCCUUUUGUUUUUUGGUUGUGAGGCUUUAGCUGCCUUGUAUAUCUCCUGUAUACUGUGUGGCUAUUGGCCUCUUUUUUAAUAUACAUUGACGUACUUAUCAAAAAAAAAAUAAUAUAGUGAACAUAAACAUUUGACUACAUUUUCACAUUAUAGUUAAAUCUAACAUUGAAUUUCCUAACUCACCUUUGUAUGCCAGGAUAUAUUAGAAACAAUUUUAAAACAUGUCAGAGAUAUUACCUUUGUCAUGGCGCUCAAGCCUGACUUGGAAGACACAUAGGCUACUCCUCCAGGUAACUGUCCCCGAUUAAGAGCAGCAAUGGAAGAAAUAUUGAUGAUUGAUCCUCCAUUCUUGGCAUCCCUCAUGCGCAUACCGACAUAUUUUGACACCAACCAUGAUCCCGUCAAGUUUGUCUUCAGAGUAUUAUUCCAUUCCUCCUCAGAUAUAUCCAGAGGAGAGUUCACAUUGCCUAAGGCACACAGGGCACAGGGCAUGGGUUAAAUACAUCUACCACGCAUUACGUUCACAAAUAUUAGCAGAACACCAGAGAUAAAUUAAAUGAGUAAUAUUGAUAAGAAAAAUAUAUGUGAUUGACUCGGUAUAGAUACCCAGUUGACUCGCUAAUCUUUUUCAUUAAACAAAUAGUUUCAAAUUUCAGUUCGAACUGAAUGAAAUGAAACGUGCGCUAGAAUUGAAAGUAUGAGAAAAACAAGGUUUCCAAAAGCCAGCUGCAAAACGGGAAAUUCAGGAUACAGGAAUAUCAGGAUCGUGCAAAACCCCAUAAAUUCAAAAAUUGAAAACCAUGAAACGAGAAAUCAGGUAAAUUAAUACUAUACCCUACAUAUUCACCCCUUAGAUGAUUGAAAUUUUAAUUUCGUUUCUUCAUUCAGAUUUCGCGUGAACCAAACGGCAGGUAGAAGUGCUCAAAGAAAAAAAAAUCAAAAUUGCCUCAGUCCGUUGCAUUCCUAAAAUAUCAGAACCUCAUCAACCACAAGAUUCCAAAUUCCCUUUCCUUUUUUCCAAACAGAAACUAAACUCUUUUCCAAAGUCAAAUCAAAAUUUACCUCUAAUGCCCGCAUUAUUUAGCAAAGCAUCGAUACGUCCAAAGGCCUCCCAAGCCUUCUGAACGGAGGCGCCGAUUGAGGAGCCAUCGCUGGUGACGUCAAGUUCGACUGCUACGGCUCGGAGAGGCGGAUCAGCGUUUGGAGGAAGGUUCGAGUGGGUGAGGUUGUUGAUCUCGUCGCAGAGAGACUUGAGUCGGUCAACUCGGCGGGCGGCCGCCACGAUCUUGCAGCCGGCUUUGGCGAGGUUGAGGCAGAACUCGCUGCCGAGACCCGAGGAAGCGCCGGUGACCAUGACCACCUUGCCCUCCAGGUCUUGCCAUGGCUCGAGGUGGUUCGCGACUUGGGACGCCAUCAAUGUGGUUGAGAGUCUCUAGAGAAAGUAGGCACCAGCUUUUAGAGGGAAAAAAAGUAAAGCAAAGAAAAUUUGAUAAGAUGAAAAUAAAUAAUAAAUAAUUAAAAGGGGAAAUAAACUCCUCUAUAUAUUCUAUUGCGACAUUGCGUGAUCAAAUUCCAUUUGUUUAUGUAUCGCCUUUGUAGUGAAUCUAGUGAUGAUGCCAUCGGAUUGUUUGCAGUGAAUUGUCGGAAUUGUUUUUAGUCAUUCUAAUAAUUAAAAAUAAAAAUUUUCAAAUAUUAAAAAUUAAAAAAUUUUAAAUAUUAAAAAUGUUAAAAACGCUUCCUAUAAUAAUUGUUAAAUAGACUCUAAGAGUAUAUUUGAAAGUAAUUCUAAAAAAUAUUUUUAGUAUUUUUAUUAAUGUGUUUUUAAGUAUUAAAAAUAUUAAAAAUACUUUCUAAAAUCACUAUCAAACUAAAAGUGCAUUUAAAAGUAAUUUUAAAAAAUAUUUUUAACAUUUCUAAUACUUAAAUAAUAAAAAACUUCAAGUGUUAAAAAAAUUUAAAACAUUCCAUAAAAUCACUACCAAAUAGAGUCUAAGUUUGUGAAGGGAUCAACACUUAAUAAGUCAUAUUUUAUUAUACAUCUUUCUAAAAUUAGUAUUAAGAAACCAAUUUUUCAGUGUCCAAUAAUUUUCCCUAUUGGUAUAAUUUUCUAAUUACGUAAAAUAAAAAUGGUCAUCAAGGGAAAAUAAUUUUUGAGAACAAACUUUUGCUUAUGAUUUUUUUAUUAUUACUCAAAAAGAGCAUAUUUUAUAUAAUAAUUAUCACGAAUUUCAUAUCUUUUGAGUAGUAACUAUACCUAAAACACUCAAUUAACAUGUUUUUACUUUUGCAAGAAUUACUAAAAAGUCUUAUGAAGUUUUGGGGUAAUUUCAAGGUAUGUUUUUUAUAAAUAGGUGACAAAAGAGAUGAAUCAAAUUAAAGAAAACAAAUAAAGUUGAUGAUGAUCCAAAUGCAUAAUGAAAGAGGCAAUCCAAUCAGUUUGGAUUGGGAUUUGGAGGUAGUUGAAGUGGAAUCAAAAUGAAGAAAUGAGAGAAAUUGCAAAAAGAAGUUGAAAAACCAUGUUUUUCAAUUUCACAUAAACACGAGAAAAAUUCGCACAGUCAUGCAAAUUGAAAUAGAAUGGACUUUGGCUGCAGCACACAAGGGGAAAAGUGAAAAUUGAUUUCGCAUGACCAUACGAAACGCUCCAAGAAGACGAAAAUGGUGCUGAUGGAUUUUCCACUUCGCACAAUCGUGCGAAAUUGUUGGAGCUCAUGCGAAAUUGUUGGAGCUCGUGCGAAAUUGCAUCUUUUCCAAAUUUCUUGAUGAAAAAGUCUCCGGAAGACCUUUUAGAUGAUGCCAAGUGUCCACUUGACCUUGGCCUAUAAAUAGAAACUUGAUUUACUCAUUUAGGGAUUUUUGAUACAUUUCCUAAUUGUAGAAUUUUCCAAAUUUCUUCUCUCUAUAUAAUUCUCUACUUUCCUUCAUUUUCUCUCAUUUUCUCGGUAGCCAAACAUGUCUUGUGAGAUCAAAUCUCAAAGUAUGAGUGGCUAAAUCUUGUUUUUCUUGGAAGAGAAAGGAUAUAGAGAUAAGAUCUAUGGUGAAUUAGAGAAAUGAGAUUAAAUUGCAAAGGUAAUUUGAUCCAAUUGAUUGAUUAAUUGAAAUUUUGAGAUUUUUCUCUUCAAAUUGUCUUGGAUGAUUACGACAAUGUAAGUUAGGUACAUUCAUCAAAUUCUUAAAGUUAGAUUUGAUGAGAUUGAAUAGUUACAUUGUGUGAAUCAUUGGCAGAUAAUUUAAGAUGAAUUGAAUAUAUGAUUUGAAUUGAUCUCUUAGAUUAAACGACCUAAUUUGAAGAGAAAUUAGAUCUAAACCUAAAGUCAAAUCAAAAAUCGGUUUAGAUGAAAAUUUAGGUUUUCAAUCUAACUUGAUGAAAAUUAGAUCUCAACAUCUAUUCACCAUGGAAAUUGUUUUCUAGAAAAUCCUAACUCCGAGAAUUUUAUCUCCUAUUAAUUUUCUUUUAUUUUACAUUUUAUUUUUCUUCUCAAUUUUAGACCAUUGUCAAAUUAAUUUUUCAUCAUGAAUUUUCAAAUCAAUUUCACUUGAUCACAAUCAUUUCUUAUCCUUUCAUUCAAGCCUUAAUUACCGAGAAUAAUCCAUCCUAGUGGACGACACCUAAAAACCACUAUAUUACAGUAGUUUGUACUAAAAUUGUUUUUAAUCGGGUACAAUCUACUUUAGAAUAGUGAAUUAGGUUAUAAAUUUUGUUUUGAUCAAAUAAAUGACAAAAAUCUAAGCGAUCAAUUUUGUAUAUAAAAAAUAAUUUUUUUCACUUAUUCUCGAUAAAACUUAUAAUGUAAAAGUUUUCAAAAUAUUUUUUUAAUAUUUUUUCUUUAUUUUUUGAAAAAUUUUGAUAAAUAAAAUAUGAAAAUACUUUUAAAUUAUUUUUAAAAUAACCUAUUUUCACAACAACAUUUUGAAAAAAACUUUUUUUAUUUUCUCAAAAUUUGGUCAAAUAUAUUCUCUAAGUUGGAGAGUGUCUAAUAUCCUUGUAAAUGUAUUUGGACAAAGUUUUGGAUUUUUAUUAUUUACUUUUGCUUUUAACAGCAAAACUCACUUUAAAAAUCCAAAAAAUAAAAUGAGUUUGGAAAACAAAAUCCAAACUUUAAUCAAAUUUAAAUCCUUUAAUUUUCUCAUUUGUUAAAAGAAUCUCAUAUUUUAUGCCAUUGAUGAAUAAGAAAAAACUUCUUACAUCUCUUAUAAGAAUCAUCUAUCAAUAUUUGAGUAUAUUUUUUUUUAGUGAUGCAUGGUGUUAAUUGAUUGAACUAAAAUUGUAUAAUAAAACCUGUCAAUAGGGAUGACAAUUUAGACACGACACGAUAAUGCAAUUUGAAAAUGAUUGGAUUGUUAAUGUGUUUGGGUUUGCAUGUGAUUGUGUUGUGUCUUAAUAAACAUGUCUUAUUUGGGUUUUCAUUAUUCACCUUGUUUAUGAUUUAUUUGCUUAAUUGUAUCAAAAUAAUUUAUUUAAUCCAUAUAAAUUUAAUAAUUUUAUACAUUCCAAUUAUAAAAAUAAUAAAUACUUUGUUAAUUAUAAAUAUCAUAUAGUAAAAACAUUAAAUAACUAAAUAAAAUUACAUUUGAUUAGUAAGAUUAAAAAUAGUUUAUAGUUAAAAUUUUAAAUAAAAUAAUAAGUAAAUGUAAAAAUUAAAAUAUUAUCCUACUUUUUAUAUUAUGAUCAAAAUUAAAUAAUUACAUUAAUUAAGAUUAAAAAUUAAAGCAAAUGAAAAGUAUUUUAGAAUAAUAUAUUUAUAAAGUUAAAUUCCAAAAUAGGUUAAACGGGUUAUAAUCAUGUUAACUAGUUAAAAUCAUACUAAUGGAUUAUUAUGUCCGAUUUAACCCAUUUAUUAAAUGAGUUAAAUGGGUUGUAUUGAGUUACCUAUAUAAUAAAUGAGUUGUGUUUAUGUUGAAUGUUUCCGACAUGAUUAUUAAAUAAGUCAUAUUUAAAUUAAAUAAAUUUUUACUAUUUUUUUUUUACUUUGAAGACAUUGCCAUCCCUACUUGCUCACAUGCAUUUAAACAAAAAAAUCUUGUAAUUUUCUCUCCAAUCCUUAUCAUUUUUCCCAUCGGCAAGUUCCCUAUUAGGAAAAGAAAUUCCUUGUAUACAUCUCUCAUCCCCAUUCAUGGUCUUUGAAUUCAUAUUUAAAAUUUUCAAAUAUAUAUAUAUAUAUAUAUAUAUAUAUAUAUAUAUAUAUAUAUAUAUAUAUAUAUAAACUAAUAUAUUUUAUAGUGAAUAUGAUAAUUUUUAAAAAAAUAAAUAAAUAUAAAAUUAUAUAUAAAGAAAUAUAUUUAAUAUUAUAUGUAUAUGGUUUGGGUGGGUUUUGGAUAGGGAAUAGUUUCAUUUCCCUGGUCGAGGUUCCCCAUCCCUAAUCCGACUCCAUUAGGGAUGGAUUCCCCAGGGGCACAACUUGGCUGGUUUUUUAUGCCAUCCUUGCUGGAGGGUGGGUUGGGAACUGUUGCCCAAAGCAUGGCCCAUGGGCCCCAACAUUGGCAAAAUCUUGAAACCCUUUAAGAUUAAGCUUGUUAUCUGUUUAUGUAUAUGUGCCGCCAUUUAGAUUGCAGGCCUAAAAAACUUAUAUAGUUUAUGAAGACAUGACCCAACAGGCCCAUCGGGCCACUUGUAUUCCUCUUUAACUUGACACCAAAAGCGCAUUUGGUCGGGUUGAGCUUCAUAUUGUAUGCUUUCAUUAGGCAAAAUGUUUCCUCUAAGUGUAGGACGCGUUUGCUCUGGGUUUUGUUUUUUACCACAAUAUCAUCAAUAUAGACUUCUACGGUUCGGCUGAUCAAGGGUUUGAAGAUUUUUGUCAUCAACCUUUAAUAAGUGGUUCCAACAUUCUUAAGCCCAAAUGGCAUAACCCUAUAGCAGUAUAAUCUGUGCAGCAUCACGAAGGCGGUUUUCUUUUCAUCCGGUUGGAACAUCGGGAUCUGGUGGUACCCGGAGAAUGUGUCUAUGAAAGAGAGCAUCUCAUACAUGGUAGUGGACUCAACUAUCUGAUCUAUUCGAGGUAGAGGGAAGCUAUCUUUCAGGCAAGCAUCAUUCAGGUUGGUGUAAUCAACACAGACUCGCCACUUUCCUCCUUUCUUUGGAACAACCACUACAUUCGCCAACCAAUCCAGAUAUUAUACUUCCUUGAUAAACCCGAUUGUCAGCAACUUGUCCACAUUGAAUUGGAUGAUCUUUUGCUUGUCUGGAUGGAAGCGUCUGACUUUCUGGCAAACGGGUCACGAGGAAGGUAUGAUAUUGAGUCGAUGUAAGGCUACCGAUGGAUGGAUUCUGGGCAUAUCAAAGUGAGUCCAUGCGAAAACAUCCUUGUUCUACUAAAGCACUCCUUCGAGUAAUUUUAAUUCUUUUAGUGCUAGGAGAGAGCUAGCAUAGGUAACACGAUCACUGCUACCUGAGAGAUGCAAGGGUUGGAGCGAGUCUGCUGCUGACAGAUCUUUUUUCGUCAGGCUCUGUAAUUGCUAUUGCUCCUUCGUAUUUGUCAGUCUCGUGUGUGGCUCACUGUUGCUUGGGAGUCCGAAAUUGAGUACCGCUUGAUAGCACUAGCACGUAGCCAACUUACUACCAUAAAGGUCGAUUUGUCCGUCCUCGGUGAGGUAGCUUACCAUCUGAUGAUACGUAGAGGGAAUGACUUUCAUGUUGUGAAGCCACGUGCGCUCCAUGAUGGUGUUAAAAUGGGAUAAGUCCUCUACUAUCGAGAACUGCACAUUCUGGGUGAUCAUACCAACUUGGACGGGUAAUACGAUGUCACCUAAAGACGUUGUCGUUGUCCCAUUGAACCAAAUAAUAUCUGUUUUGGGUUUUCUAGGGCAAUCGGCAGGAGUCUCAUUUGUUUGUAUGACGACAUUUGCAAGAGGUCAACUGAGCUGCCCAGAUCAACCAAAAUCCUUCUUACAUCAAACCCAUUUAUCCCUAAUGUUAGAACUAGGGCGUCUUCAUGUGGUUGUAGUACUCGGUUGGGGUUUACUGGAGGGAAGGUUAUUAUCCCGUCCAUUAGGCAUGCACCUUGAUUACUACUCAAAAAGUGUUAUUUCAUAGCUUGUAAUUAACUCUUUUAAACACUUUUGAGUAGUAGUUAUUGCCUUUUAACCCAAUUAACAUGUUAAGGACCCUUGCAAUCACUUCUAAUCAAUUUGUGUUAAGUUUUGGUGUUUUGAUAGCUUUUUUAUCACCAAAGCAAUCCGAGAUUGAGGAGAGUUAUUUGGAAUCUAUGGCAAAGCAAUGGAAAGCUCAGAAACAUGAAGAACCAAAGCUUUGAAGUCCUUUGUCAUAAGCAAAUCCGGAAUGCAAGGAGGAGAAGCAAAGAGAAAUCUGCCAUGAAGCAUUCUUGAUGAUAGCCAUGUCAGCCACUUUUAGAGCACUUCCUGAAGUCUAAUUUAUGCAUGCUAUAUGUCGUUUCGAAGCUCAGGAAGUCAACAAUCCAAUGCUUCAAAUGGUGUUCAAUUUGGAGUUGAAAUGAAGGAAUUACAGCCAUUACAAGUUGAUCACUCUAAGUUGAAGGAAGAAUUUUGCACAGCGCUGCGAAAUCACCCUUUUGUUGCGAGAUGAUUUCGCAGCCUUUUUGUACAGUGCUGUGGAUUCUCCCCUGAAGUUUCCCGUCACAAUGGAAGCCGAAUACCGCAAGCUGAAAGCCAACUUCGCAGCGCUGCGAAAUCAGCCUUUUGCUGCGAAGUGAUUUCGCAGCCCUUUUUGUGCUUCUACGAAAUCUCGUAGACCUCGUUUUCACCUGCGAAAUGGUCCUUAGUGCUUCCCGAUAUUUGUGACCGACACUUUUGGAUAUUUUGCUUCAGAUUUUUGAUAACUAAAUCCUCAUUUUCUCCUUGUAACCCACCAAUUAUAGGAUUUCUUAGUUAUUAAGUUUGGCAAAGGGGUGAAUAACCUUAGAUAUUUUGUUUUGUAAUUUUCUUUAUAUAUAGCUCUCGGGAGCUUGUUCUUAUAUAGAAUUAUGUAAUCCGACGGGAUAUAGAUUUAUAAAUAUAUAGAAUAUACAGAGCCUUGCUCUGUUUUUUCUUUCUCUUUCAUUUUCAUUUUCUUGCUAAUCAAACUCUGAAGAUUUUUCCUCAGAUGAUGAGAGGCUAGGCUCUUCGUCUCUUGGAGCUAAGGUAACCGGGUAAGUUUUCCACAUGCAUAAAUUGGAAGUUUUGUUGUUUUAGUUUUUAAUGAAGAGAAAGUGUGACCCGUUAAUGGUUUUUAUCUUUUUAGUUAACUUAAAACGCCUUUAAUUCACCUGAGCCAACACUUGGUAAGGCAAGUGAUCUCCGUCCAUGGAGAUGCACUAGUUUAUCUCUUGCGAGCUUUUGGUAGGUGGUUUGAAGGUAGGAUUUUCUAGAAUAGCCAACACUUGUUAAGAUUUUGGACUCCAAUGAGACAUCCAUUAGUUAUCUCUUGCGAGCUUUUGAUGGGUAAUCCAAGGUUAAAGAUCACCUUGAAUGACAAAUGCUAGGUGAGAGGCACGAGUCAUUGCAAGGUGCAUCAAUGAGAGGGAUUUAGUGUUUGAACCCAUUAAUGGGAAGUAUCUGUACAACACUGGUUAGAGAAUUAACUACAUGUUAAUUCUCUAAUGCGAGGAAAAGAAACAAGUGACCAGAACUCUCCUUUUUGUAUGAGGAAUCUGAGCCUAGUGAUCUGAAACUCCAAGAAACACUUUUCUUUGUAAGUAAAAUCAGUUGCUAUUUUUGGUUAGUUUAAAACCAAACUUUUUUCAUUCAAACAUCUUUAUGUUUUCUUUUAAAGCUAACCUUGAAAUGAAAAGGCACCAAUUCAGCUUUGAAUUAAUAUCAUUUGCAAAGUGAAAACCCAUCCCAGUGAACGAUCCUAGAGCCACUAUGCUAUAAUAGCUUUGUCUUUGCUAUCCUAGUAAAUGGUGUAAUAGGUUAUAAAUUUUGUUGAUUACUCCCUCAAUCAAGGAGCACCAGCUGGACACGAAUCAACUGAGACACCAAUUGGGCAUGAAUCACACCUUCACUCGGCAAACUAUGUUGGAUAGAGCUAACCUACUCCCUCACGAAAGCCACUCGUAGCAAUCUUUGUCUCUUUUGUUUGGAAUUGUAUUUUUCGUCAACGAGACCCCCAUGAAUGUAGUUGAUGAUAGCUCUAAGAGCUUCCGAAGUUGUGGACACUUGGAUAGCCAAAUCCCGGGUGGUUUCCCUUUGUCCUUCGAUUGAGCGGAUGUAUCAUUUUAAGUGCUUGGCCUUAAUUAGUCUUUCCACUAAGUAGUGGAAACUUCUGCAUUGUUUCGUGGUGUGGCCAUGAUCUUUGUGAUAGGCACACUUCCUGUUCUAAUCCCGUUUCGUCGAAUCUGUCUUAAUUGACUCUGGCCAUCUAAAAUCAGACAGAUCACAAAUCAUGGGAAGGAGUUUGUCGUAUGAAAUGCUAAGGGGGGUCAGACUAGCUUGGCUUGGCUGCUGCUGGUCGUCUCGCUUCUUGCUGACUUGCCUUAGUUGGUUUGAGAGCUUAGAAUUUUCGGCAUGAUCGUUCCUGGCGGAUCGACGAGUGACCAGGACCUGCUGUGUAGUCUUACAAACAUCGUCUUCAAGAUGGAGUACUUGUUUACUCGUUUGAAUAGGUCAUCCAUUGUCGCUGAUAGUUUCUUAACGAGAGAUUCGAAGAAAUGCGUACUCGGACAAAUGCUUCUUUUGAAGAUUUGUAGGAUGACGUCCAUGCUACAAGACUCUACUUGGAGCACGACCUGUCCGAACAGUUUCACAAACUCCCUCAAUGAUUCAUUUUCCUACAUUUUUAUGUUUUGCGGGGUACUUAUGUUCUAUUUGUCAUGCCGAGCAUAGGUAGUGUCCCACAAAGGCUUCUGAUAGAUCCUAGAAAUUACUCACAAAAUUCUUUAGGAGAUGGUGGAACUACGAAAGGGCCUAGCCAUGUAAGCUAGUUGGAAAGACUUUGCAUAAUAGCACAUCGUUCCCUAUGUUGAGGGUCAUGAGCUGCCUAUAAUGCAUGAUAUGAUCAAACAGAUCACUUGUUUCGUCAUAUGUCAUGAAUUUUGGUACCAUGAACCCUCUUGGGGGCUAGUAGUUGAUGAUGUAAAGGCUAAAAAGCAUGGAGAGCAUGUCACCCAAUCGUCUACUGACAGAGCCAAGCAGUCCUCGUUCUGUCAGAGCCCCUACUUGUUGUUAUGCUGGUGGACGAGAAGGCCAUUCUAGCAUGACCAUUGUAAUCGAGAAACCAAGGCAGGCUUCCUGGGUCGCUGCUACACAUGGUUUCCCUUCCAUGCCAGGUGUCUGAGGUCUUAGCCGAGCUCACAUUGUGUCUGAUAGUUGUGACCUUCUAUCACACCUCUUUUUUGUGGAGAUGUGGGUAGAGUCAGAGCUUUCAUCUAACAGUGCUUGGCAAGUUGGUAGAAACUUUUCUUUAGGUCGUAUCUCCUGGCUACCAGAGAUGAACUUUGCGUCCCUAAGAAAUGACAUUUUUUCGUUUUGUUUGGAGUUUGUUCACUGGCUCUUAGGCUGUCGGCUACGAGGGGGGCUUGACGAAGACACCUGGAUGCGUAACACUUCAAUUUCUUCUCUAAGUCUCCUUGUCUCACAGAGCAAGGACUGUACCUGUCGUUUGCUCUCUUGUUGGCGUCUUUCCAUGUUUUCACACUAGUCGAAGUAGCCAUCGCUACCCAUGGCUGAUGAUCGGCUCCUUGAGGGCGUCGACAUUCUUAACAUUUCCCACAAAUAGCACCAAUGUUGAUGCGAGGUUAACUGGAGUCAGAUCCGCCUUAUGUUGUGCCACUGAGAGCUUUUACCCAGCAACAAGGGACUAAGUGAGCUUUUUCCCUACACAAAGGAUGUCCGGACAAGGUGUCUGAGCACGCCCCUCUGAAGCUUAAGUCAGACACAGGUAGGUUAGAGCUUAUAGGGAGAAAAUGAAUAAACUAGCUUAGGUGUGCAUACCUGGGUUAUGCUUUAGGAAGACUUUUUAUAGUGCUCAAGAGAAAGUUAAUGUAGUGCUGAGUAGAUACUUUGACCUUCACUGUAAUAAUGGUUAUCCUGCAGGUGGCAGAGCAAUCAUUGCAGUUUAGGGCAACUAGCAAGUUCCAUCAAAUGAUGUGUCAUAAUGUAGCUGCCCAUCAUUUCAACCUUCUGGAGAUAUGAGGCAAUGUGUGAUAAUUUGUUGACAUCAAGGAUGAAAAUAUCGGUAAUUACGGAUAUAUCGAUAUUUCGAUUUUACGGAUAUAUCGAUAUUUCGAUUUUACGGAUAUAUCGGAAAUAUAUCGAUGGAUAUUUUGAUAUAAAAUAUUAGUAGACCUAAAAUUGACCAAAACUUAUAAAAAUAUAAAAUAAAACUUUUAGAAAUGAAAUUAAAAUAUAAUAGAUAUUUUAAAAUUAUUUUAUUAAAUAAAUUAAUGUAUAUAUAAUAUUGUACGUGUCAAUAAAAAAAUAUAAAUUUGAUAAGUGUAUAUUGAUUAUUAAAUUAUAUUAAAUAUUAUUUGAUCAUUAUAUUGUGAUAUUUGAUUAUAAUAUAUUUCGAUGGAUAUUUUAACACAAAAUAUCGGUAAAUCUAAAAUUGAUCAAAACUUAUAAAAAUAUAUUAAAAAAAACUUUUAAAAAUAAAAUUAAAAACAUAAUAGACAUUUUAAAGUUAUUUUUUCGAAUAAAUUGAUAUAUAUAUAUAUAUAUAUAUAUAUAUAUAUAUAUAUAUAUAAUAUUGUACAUGUUAAUAAAAAAUAUAAAUUUGAUAAGUGUAUAUUGAUUAUUGAAUUAUAUAAAAUAUUAUUUGAUGAUAAUAUUGUGAUUAUAAUAUGUUUAAUUUUAAAAUCUGUUUAAUAUUAAAAUAGUGAUAUAUUAUAAAAUAAAUGAUAAUAAAUAUAUAAAAUAUUAAUAUAUUAAUAAUAUUAAAAACUCUAUGAAUAAAAUUAUGAUAUUUUUUACUAAUCAAUUAAAUGAAAAUUUUUCAUUUAAUUAUAAAAUAGUCAUAAUUAAUUUGUUAUUUAAAGUGUUUUUUUAAUAUUUUAUUUAUAUUCUAAGUUUUAAUAUAUAUUUCUUUAGAGUGUCAUAUUUAUCAAAGAGCAUGUUUGCCCUAGUGGAACUGGGCCUGACAUAGAAAUCUUUUGUUGGGGGUUCGAAUCCCCCCAACAGCAGGAAGAAAAAAAGCUUAAUUUUGACCGUUGACCGCCUGUGUUGACCGAGCGUUGACCGGCGAUAUAUCUCUGCUGCACCCACCGACACACCGAUAUUUCGCCGAAAUAUCGCCUAAUUCCAAAGGGAAUGAUUACACGUAGCAAGGGAGUUCCGAGCACUGUGGCAAUUAUCUGGACAAUGCUGAGGGAAGUGACGCAUGGACUGACACGUGGAAGGUCCCUACAAUUACUACUCCUCAUUCACGUCUACCAAACAGGCCUUUGGGAUGAAAAUUAUAUACGUCAAUUCCAAGUUUCCAACCCAACACAAUUAUAUUAUUCACCUAAAUCACACUAAACCCAAUUUCCAUUUUUUUGGUGCAUCCAACCUGGAAUAUGUACAUUUUAAUGUAAUUCCUGCACAAAUGAGAAAAGUGAAUAAGCCAUCUUCCUCGACAUUCUUCUUGUAAAUUGAAGAGCAAGAUUUAUUUAUUUAUUUAUUUAUUUGCAUUUUAAAAACCAAUGUGAAAUUUGUCUUUUGAUUUUGAGCAUCCAUGAUGCCGAUAUGUACAUUUCAAUUACCACAUGAAGCAGGAAGUUCAAUCUUAAAUACCGAACAUCAAGCAGAAACCACUACACCCAGUAGAUGUAGAUUUUAAUAUUCAAUGGGUUCAUUCCAAUUGCCACAUUAUUUUCAGCAACCAGAACUCAAAAAAAGCCACACAAAUAACACGAUUAUAAGGAUAUGGGGGAUCGGAUACCUUAUUUUAUUUCCCAGUAUAAUUUUGAGACAAUCAAAUUCUGAGCUGCAGAGUCUGAAAUCCAAUAAAGGAGCUUUGGAGUCUAUGGUGGUGUACCGGGAUGAACCAUCACCUUCCAAAUUAAAAUUCUAGGGCUAUACCACAAACAGAAUUCUGAGAUGUAUUGGGUAUUACAUGAUGAAUAACCCAAGAAAACUAGUACCGUAGAAGAGCUUCAAAGGGAAGAGAAAAUGGGAACACCCGGCAGGGUUGCGCCUGCAUCGACAUUGAAAACGUUACCUGAUAUGUAUCGUGAAGAAUCAUGAAUCAAGUAUCGCACCAGGGAUGUCAAUGCAGGGUCCGAUGUUCCAUAGGCCCGCAAGGGGCAUGUUCUCUGAACCACAGUGUUGAGCCAGUCUUUUUGCAUAAGGCCCGCAGUUAUCUCCGAUUUGAAUAUUCCAGGUGCUAUUGCAUUCGCUCUAAUAUUGUAUGCCCCCAAUUCCAAAGCCAUUACCUGGAAUUGUUAUUAUUUGGAAAAAAAAUAAAUAAAUAAUCAUUCUUCAGUGCCAGACUCAGAUGAGUGUGUAGGAAUAAAGGUUCUACAACAUUUUUGCAUGGAAAAACAGUUGAAGAUGGCAGGAAAUAUACAAUAAAAUGUCGAAUCGAAAUAAGUAUAAUGCUAUAUAAACACAAGCCCUUAACCAGAUUUACAGAAAAUGACUUACAUCUUGGAUAGACAAACUGUACGUAUCAUGCAAAAGCGGAGAAUAAUAUUGGGAUUUUUUGCAUGGGAAGCAAGGUGAGAAGAAUAUUGACUUUUUGUACAUUGAUUUUUAUCUUCUCUUUUUAUACAUUUUAUAUACUCCUCAUGCUUAUUAAAAAAAAAAAAAGACAAAAAUAAUAUUAAAAAUUAAAAAUAAAAUAACAAGACAAGCAUAAUAUAGUGAACAUAAACAUUUGACUACAUUUUCACAAUAUAUUUAAAUCUAACGUUGAAUUUCCUAACUCACCUUUGUUUGCCAGAAUAUAUUAGAAACAAAUUUAAAACAUGUCAGAGAUAUUACCUUUGUCAUGGCGCUCAAGCCUGACUUGGAAGACACAUAGGCUACUGCUCCAGGUGACUGUCCCCGAUUAAGAGAAACAAUGGAAGAAAUAUUGAUGAUUGAUCCUCCAUUCUUGGCAUCCCUCAUGCGCAUACCGACAUAUUUUGACACCAACCAUGAUCCCGUCAAGUUUGUCUUCAGAGUAUUGUUCCAUUCCUCCUCAGAUAUAUCCAGAGGAGAGUUCACAUUGCCUAAGGCACACAGGGCACAGGGCAUGGGUUAAAUACAUCUACCACGCAUUACGUUCACAAAUAUUAGCAGAACACCAGAGAUAAAUUAAAUGAGUAAUAUUGAUGAGAAAAAUAUAUGUGAUUGACUCGGUAUAGAUACCCAGUUGACUUGGUAUAGAUACCCAGUUGACUCGCUGAUUAGUUUCAAAUUUCAGUUAGAACUGAAUGAAAUGAAACGUGCGCUAGAAUUGACAGUAUGAGAAAAACAAGGUUUCCAAAAGUCAGCUGCAAAACGGGAAAUUCAGGAUACAGGAAUAUCAGGAUCGUGCAAAAUCAAAAUUUACCUCUAAUGCCCGCAUUAUUUAGCAAAACAUCGAUACGUCCAAAGGCCUCCCAAGCCUUCUGAACGGAGGCGCUGAUGGAGGAGCCACCGCUGGUGACGUCAAGUUCGACUACUACGGCUCGGACAGGCCUGUCAGCGUUUGGAGGAAGGUUCGAGUGGGUGAGGUUGUUGAUCUCGUCGCAGAGAGACUUGAGUCGGUCAACUCGGCGGGCGGCCGCCACUAUCUUGCAGCCGGCUUUGGCGAG
rnacentral:lncRNA from 1 species